rnacentral:rRNA from 1 species
GUACACGUAGGUACGUACCUUCGAGUCCGGGAUAACCAGUCGAAAGACUGGCUAAUACCGGAUACGACCGUGGGAGCCUCGGCUCUCGCGGUGAAAGAUGGCCUCUGCUUGCAAGCUAUCACUCGUUGAGCGGCCUGCGCACCAUUAGCUAGUUGGUGGGGUAACGGCCCACCAAGGCUGAGAUGGUUAGCUGGUCUGAGAGGAUGGCCAGCCACACUGGGACUGAGACACGGCCCAGACUCCUACGGGAGGCAGCAGUGGGAAUAUUGCGCAAUGGGCGAAAGCCUGACGCAGCGACGCCGCGUGGGUGAUGAAGGCCUUCGGGUCGUAAAGCCCUGUCGGGAGGGAAGAACGCUCCCUGGCCUAAUAUGCCGGGAGGUGACGGUACCUCCUAAGGAAGCACCGGCUAACUCCGUGCCAGCAGCCGCGGUAA